GACGAACGCUGGCGGCGCGCUUAACACAUGCAAGUCGAACGGAAAGGCCUGCUUUCCCUUGUGGAUUGCGGGUACUCGAGUGGCGAACGGGUGAGUAACACGUGAGUGAUCUGCCCCCAACUUGGGUAUAAGCCUGGGAAACUGGGUCUAAUUCCCUAUAGGACUGCAGGGUGGUGCCUGUGGUGGAAAACGAUUUUCUAGUGGUUGGGGAUGCGCUCGCGGCCUAUCAGCUUGUUGGUGGGGUAAUGGCCUACCAAGGCGGCGACGGGUAGCCGGCCUGGGAUCGUGGACAGCCGCAUUGGGACAGGGACACGGCCCCGACGCGAGCGAGAAGCAGGAGAGGGGCCUAAUUGACCGUGGGCGUGAGCCUGCAGCAGCGACGCAGCGAGGGAGAUGUCGGGCUUCGGGUGGUAUGCUACUUUCGACGGCGAGGAAGCCACCUGGUUGGGCGGGUGGUGACGGUAGUGGUAGAAGAAGCACCGGCUAACUACGUG
rnacentral:rRNA from 1 species